UUUUAGCGGGCACUGGUAUUGACUAAAUGAAAGAUAACGGCUUGAUAGUCAAGCUUGGUAGUCCGGUCAGAUGGUCCCGAGUUAGACUUUCCAAGAUAUCCUAGCUCGUAAGUAUACCCGAAACGAGAAAGAAUAGAGACUAAAACCUAGUCAGGACCUGCACUCGCCUCUACUAGGAGGGGAUUCAUGAUGGUGGAUGUCCCUUCUUUCACUUCAGAAAAGGAGGUCCUCGAAUCCACCCACAUUAUCAUUUAGCAGAGAAGCAAGCAUACUUCAAUCAAUCGCGAGAAGAGUCCCUCUUAGGUAAGCAAGUAAAUUAUUAGGUAAAGGAUUUAUUUUAGUUAUGCGCUCACUAACACAACCUCAAGAUUAAGCACGGUUAGGACAUUUUCACUACAUAUUUUCAAGUAAGAGAUAUGUUAUGCCGAAUAAGCUUAGUUUAGAAAUUCUAUUUGAAAUAGAAGAGGUGUAAACAGAACUCCUAGGAAAAGAUCUAUUGUUAACCCUACUAUACUUACUAUAUAAAGCGGGUAAGAACUACACACCCUUUAUCCUUUCCCCCCGCUCUUAACUUCUGUCUGCCAUAGCCCUUUCUUCCUGGAGGGGAACUUAAACACUAUCUUUAUAUGUCCGGGCACUCCUUAUUAGCACUACCAACAAGACAGAAAAGAAAUAGAAUAGGAUAGCCUAAGUGGCUUUUGCCCUCGAAAGCUGCUAUAUCUAUCCCUGUAGGAUUGAAAGAAUAGGUAGCCCUAUUAAUCAGAUUAGAGACAUCACCUAGUGAUCUUGCUGGCUUUCAAACAUCAACAUCAACACCUGUCUCUACAGGAAUCUUUCUUACCAGACCAGGAAGCAAUCCUAGACUCGAAUCGAAGGACUGCAAUUGGAUGGAAUUAGAUUAGCACUCACCAUAAGCAACCGCAGAGAAAGAAACUGACUGGAAAAAAAAACAUUCAUCCCCCCUCUUUAGGAAAUAAAACACUUAUACAAAUGAAAGAGUAAAGCGACAUCCAAUUCGAUGUGUUACGCACAGUGGAGAUUUGCCAAAGAAUAGGAAUCGAGUGAAGAGAAAAUGAAUUUCAAUUCCGAGUCAACCUACUCGGAAUCAGCCGUAAUCCGAUCGAAAGCCUUCGUGCUCCUUCAAUUCCGAGUCAACCUACUCGCAAUCAGCCGUAAUCCGAUCGAAAGCCUUUGUGCUCCUCAAACUCCGACUCCCAUUCCAACUUUAACUCCAAGUCUGAUUCAAAUCUACUUUCUUCUGCUUUGAUACUUUGAUAAAAGGUGGCCUUUCUUACGGGUACCUUAUGGGAUCGAAUGAGUCGCUUGAGAGGUAAUUCUUACGCUUUUAUUAAGGAACGAGGAAUAAAUGGAUCAGACAUGCGAGUGCUUUCCGGGAAGGCAGGUUCGAUAGAAGAAGGGCUAAAGAUAAACUUCCACAUUUGCGUAUAGCAAAGGUUUUUAAUCCAUGCUUGGUAGGAGUUCAUUCAGUGAUCACAGGAUAAGGAGUAAGUCAAAUAAAUGAUAGAUGCACAUCUUAGUAAUUGACAAUAUAUCAAGUCUGGUUUUUAAUCCAUGCUUGGUAGGUGUUCAUUCAGUGAUCACGGGAUAAGGAGUAAGUCAAAUAAAUGAUAGAUGCACAUCUUAGUAAUUGACAAUAUAUCAAGUCUUGCAGGUAUAGCUAGUCUUUGUAGUUGAAGCCCCAAAUCCGCGCUUUCUUUAUUCAACUGAAAGGAUUGAACUCACGUCCAGCUCGGAAGUCAAAGGGAAGAAAGACUACUUUUAUUCCGCUUCCUAUCAUCUCUUCUAGGAGUUUCGCAUGUAGCAAGGGAAGGGACCUUAGUGAAUGCAGAAUUGAUAGCAGUGAGUGAGUCCUUGAAUUGAAGGUCGAUGAAAUUGAGCUCUGAUGGACUUAGGGCAUAAAGAUAGAGCCCAGGCCCUGGAUAGGAUUAUAGAGGAGUAUUCAAGAGUUCUUAACCUUCUUAGCCAAUUCAUUCCAUGCAAAGGGAUAAACGCCUUCUACCUAUAGUAGCGAAAGCUAUCAUUAUUCUUAUGGAGAAAUAGAAGUAGCAAAUAUUGCAAUACAAAGUAGUUUGCCCUAUCCUACUCCUAUUAGGUGUGGUAUUCUUAGAUUUAGGUAAAGUAUCAGCACUCUAGUAGUCAAACUCUAAAAGAGGACAUACUAGAUCGAUUAACUAUAGUUAUUCUAAGACUUUUGAUAAGAAACUAUAUUCCGCAUUCCGCUUCGGAGAAUCUCUUGUAGAUCAAUGAAAGCAUGAAAGGGAAAUCAAGAAAGGAAGGCAUAUAGCGCGUGAAGGAAGGGAGUAUAUAAAUUGAUAAGGAGAUGGAAAAAUGCCUAUAAGCCACUCCUUAACCCUUAAGCAGUGGGCUCAAAAAGGAAGCAGGAAAGAAGAUCCUAGAAUAGGUCUAGUGUUAAAAGGCAGGUGCAAAGCGAAGCUCCAAGUAUGGAAGAACUAGCUUUACCAGUAAAAGUUCUUUGGAACAAGAACUUCUAUCACUGCGUUUGUCAAUCCAGCCACUUCCUUCAAUAAAUGGUAUGGCAUUCCCCUUAUUGAAUAUCCAUGCAUCUCUGGAAGACAGUCCAGUCAAAGAUGUACGGUUAAGUAGAUCACAGGCCAGGUAGAGCUCGGCAUCAAAGAAAUAAUACUUAUAUUCUGAUGGGUUAUCUCAGAAAGAUUACUUUUAUUCUGCUUGCUAUCAUCUCUUCUAGAAGUUUGGCAUGUAGUAAGGGAAGGGACCUUAGUGAAUGCAGAAUUGAUAGCAGUGAGUGAAUCCUUGAAUUUAAGGUCGAUGAAAUUGAGCUCGAACGAAGCUAGAGGCGAACAAAAUUAGCUAUUAAGCUAGGGUUAGACUAAGAAGAAUCUUUCGACCGUAAUUUUGCUCAAUGAAAUAAACUAAGGGUUUUUAUAUAGAAACUAUGGGCCUUAGCGAGAAGUGGCACUUCAGCAAUAGGAUAAAGCGAGAAUGAGUAGGAGUGAUGUUAUUAAGACCACACUUUCGACGAAUGACCUUAGCAGCCAAUCAGUCAAUGGAAGGAGUUGGGAUUCAAUCCACUAGUUGCUUUCAAGCAUAGUUUUUAUUUACUUCAAGUGCCAAGUACGAGUCCUAAACGUCCAGGCACUGAAGGCAGCUUUUACUAACAAUGUUAGGGAAAUCCUGAGAAGAGGUAUGUAAGAUCCGUGGAUUCUAUCGAAGUAAGGACGGUUCAAAAGCAAAUACGACCAGUUCGAAACCUAUGCUUAUUGAGGUAAGCGCUUUCUUUAGCAGUGAUGUAAGAAAUUCGGUAGUACUUAUAUCAAAUAUCAAAUAUAGAAAGUCUUGCAGGGCGGUUAAGCCUAUUCGUAGGAAGGUAGGGAUACGUGGUUGAAGGACCAAGUACGGAAAGAAGUCAACCAAUGGAAUAGAGUCCUUAAGCCAAGGGUUCUUUACCUGGGGGGUAUCAGAGCGCCAGAACCGAUGAUAGUCCCUCUGCUUAAUUAGCUAUUGUCUCCCCUAGGGUUCGGUUCGUCAACAAAGGUAUAGUAGUCUCGGCCCUUUCUUUCCUAUUUUAUGGAUAGGGCCUAGAGGUAGUUGGGGAUUACGGUUUUGGUAGAGAUUUGAGAAUACAUAAGCUCAUAUUCCUGGAGGCUCCUUUUGUACACCGAUUCUUUGGUCUUCUGAACAUCAGUAACAAAAUUAGAAAGACCAACAUGGUCAAUAGGUGUUGUUCUUUCUACUUCCUAUACUGUCGGUUCGGGAAGCCAGAUGGGUUUGAAAUUCAUGAAAAAGGUCUUACCAAUAAGCAAAACAAGGACACAUGGCAGACUCACCGUCACUUCGCUUUCAUAGUGGCGUUUCUAGGGAUCAUGGUCUUCAUAAACAAAGAGAAUAUGAUUUACAUUCAUACAGCUAGGGUCGUACAGGUCCUCACUACUAAAGAACAUCACACUCUAUCCCCAACCAUUCUAUCAGACAUUUACCGGCCGUUGACUUCGUGUAUGUCUGGGCCAAAAUUCUUUGAAGGGUGCCAUAUUUUGUUGCAAAUGUGGUUAAUUAAACAUCUCUGGAAACACCCCAAGUUCAUGCGGUAUGGUCUGAGCAAGAACAAUGUCACUGAGAGUUAUGAAGAAAUUGAUAAAAGAUUAUAAUUCUCCAGAAGAGGUGGAAGCCUGGAUAUCCUACCUAAGAUUUUUAAGUGCAAGUCAAAUUGAGUGGACUUUGGGAUGGCUCCCCGUAAGAGAGGUGAUAAACAUGUCGGCCUUAAAGAGUUAUUUGCAACUAUUGGGUUUGAGAAGUGUCUAGUCGUAUGCGCCACAAAGAGUUCUAAGACAGUUAGGAAGAUACCAAGUGGUACCUAAUGAUGAAGAUUUGAGUGUGCAAAUGAUUGAGUUACACCCCAAAGCCCCACUCCCAGAGGCUUUAAUACAACAAAUUUGGAAUAGUUGUCGCUACUUGAAAGAUGACACCCAAGUUCCAAAUCCUGCAAAAGGUUAGAUAGAUCCGGGUUAUGUUAGGUGGUUUGAGAAGAGAUCUUGCAUGGAUUAUGAGCCAACACUCGAGCCCGAAAGGCCCGUAAAAAGGCUGCAUGUUCAAGCCUUUGAUGAUAAAAUCCAAGAACGGUUGGCUUGGGGUGAAAAAGAAAAGGGAUACAAAGCAACUAUUCAUGCCUUAGAAGAAAGCCUUAGAAACCUCAAUUUUGAGAAAGACUUAGAAGCACAAGAAGCAUAAGGUGAAAUAAUAGUCUGAUUCGCGAGAAUGAAGCCCUCCGUCAUCGGCUUCAAUAGAUGAAGAAAGCCUCUGAAGGGCCAGUGAGUAGUUGGAAAGACCAGAGAACCAUUGCCAAUCUGAUAGAAAAGGUGCAAGAUUAUGACUUCAUCUUGGAAAAGAUAGAAAAGGCAUUCGACAAUGCUAAGGAAAAAAUCAUACAGUUAAAUGAGGAGGCCAAAUAUAGCAAGGAUCUCUAAAUGACAAAGUUUGAAGAAGAUAGGGCUCAAUUCGAGAGAGAGAAGGCCCAUUGGGUACGUUCAGAAGCUCAGCUCCAUGCACAGUUUGAAGAAAUAAGAAGGUAGAAAAGAGAAUAUCAGCAUGCAGAUAUUGGUAGGGACAGGGCACAGGCGAGACUCGAGCAGGGUAGACUUCGGGCUUUGUUGGAUUCAGCUCUAGAUCGUGAGGGCCACAUAAGAGGGAUAGCCACCACUCGCCAUUAGCAGUUACAAGAUCGAGACUAAAUUUCCAAUACUUCAGAGAGCAAGUCCAUGAUUUGGCUGUUUAUGUAGCUCAAAGUUGUGUGAACUGUCAAGGGAUGGAUUAUGAGAAGUAUUUGGAGCAUGCACCACUUUUGCCCGUCAUCUUGCAGCAGAGUUAGAGAGGAUGUAUCGUACAUUGGGGGUCAUCCAGGUCAAGCACCACCAUGAGUAGAUGCUCCAGUGGUUGAAAGCAAAAUGAUUAUGUUGUAACAUAGCCAUAGUUGUUAGUAUUUUCCAUAUAGCAGUUAUGUUCUAGUUGGAGUCAUUGUUAAGUCCUUUAAAUCAUUAUUUUAGUCUUUUCAAAGUUUGUUCAUUCAUGUUCGAUGAAAUGUCCCUUUUGUCAUUGUAUUUUUAAUUGUUUCGCUUUGUUGAAAAAACUAUUGUACUUUUAUCCUGAACUAUAUAAUGGUCAGAAUCAUGCGGCGUCAUGAUACGUAAGCAAUCCUUAGUGAAUGCAAUCAUGCCAUAAUUAAUCUAAAAAAAGGGGCCGUCAAAUUUAAGAUGUAAAUAAACUAAUUAACCAAUAGCCAAAUGAAGCAUGAAGUCUUCCAAACUCAUUCUAGAAAUAAAAAUGGCAUUAGGUGCAUGACAUACAAUAUGUGAUUAAUAUCUGCAAAAUGCCUAACUCUAACACGUUUGUUGUUUGUCAUUCUAAAGAGAUAAAGUUAAAUAGAGGUGGUUGGUUUGUGGUUUAAACUGGCGACUCACCCUUACAACACGAGAUCAAAAGGAAAAAGUAGAAUGUCAAAAAACAGUGAGAAUCAAUCAGAUAAUGAUAAUUUCCAUGGACAAUUGGUCGAACAAGGUUCGGGACAGGUUGAAGAAGUAAAAAUGUUAAAACAACAAUUGGUAGAGUGACCCCAACAUUGUACCAACCUGGUUUCAACCCAAGCAUUAACCUUCCCAAUAUCCCCAGUGACCCCAUUCCACGUCCUCCAACCGCACCCCUCAGAAAUGACCCACCUACUAUACCCAUUGUCCCUACUUUCACCGUUCCAAACCGACUCUUGCUCAAAAGCUCAACAAUGAUCCAUAUCUGAAUGCUCAUGAUGCCCAACAUUACUGUCCAGAACUCACUUUCAAGGUUUCAGAUUCAUACAAGCACACUUAUCAGAACAUGUUCCCAGUUGAGAUCAAAAAGCUCGAAAAGAAUAUGGAACAUGAGGAAAUGACCAGAAAAAUGAAGAGCUUGGAACAAACCAUGAGAAACAUACAGGAUUUGGGAGGCCACAAGAGUGUUUCGUUUAAUGAUCUAUGCAUUUUCCCCCAUGUUCAUUUUCCACCGGGCUUCAAUACCCCCAAGUUUGACAAAUCUAGGAGGCCACAAGAGUGUUUCUUUCAAUCAUUUAUGCAUGUUUCCCAUGUUCAUUUGCAACCCAUAUUCAAGACCCCUAAGUUUGACAAGUAUGAUGGUCACAGUGAUCAUGUGGCCCACUUGAAGUGAUAUUGGAACCAAUUGAGGGGAGCAUGAAGCAAAGAAGAAUUACUCAUGGCUUAUUUUGGGGAAAGUUUGACAGGAAUUGCUUCAGAGUGGUUAAUAGAUCAAGACAUAUCUCACUAGCAUGUUUGGAACAACAUGGCUCAAGAUUUUGUCCAACGAUUUCAGUACAAUAUUAAUAUAAUGCAAGACUGCUCCUCUCUUGUCAACAUAAAGAAGAACCAACAGAAAGCUUUAGAGAAUAUGCAAUCAAGUGGAGAGAGUGGGCUGCUAAGGUCAAACCACCAAUAAAAGAGGCAGAAAUGAUUGACUACUUUCUCCAAGCUCAGGGUCCUGAUUAUCUCCACUAUAUGUUGGCCACCAUUGGUAAACCUUUUGCCGAGGCGAUUAAGAGUGGGGAAAUAGUUGAGAAUGGCAUGUAGUCAGGCAAAAUUGUAAGUCAAGAAGCCCUAAAGGCGACCGAGCAAGCAAUUCAAAGCGGGUCAGGCAGUUUCAGAAAUCGAAUAAAUAAGGAGGAAGGAUCCAUGAUGGCCUCUGGGUUCGGGUGAGUUCAAAGAGGUAUAGUUCCUUCGUACAUGCAAUUCCAACAAGUAGAAUCCAAUUCUCCUCAACAUUAUUAUCCGUCUCAGGGUCCCCGGUACUCAGUUCCCUCGCAACAAUACACAUUGUUUAAUGCUUAGGCUUAUGCUAGGCCUCUCAAUCACCAACAACGGCAAGCAAUGAUUCCACAAGCUUCCAUCAACUCUAGAAAAAUUUUCAGGCGCCAUAUAAUCCUCAUCCAAGAUAGAAAUAUGUGAGAGAACAAGAGCCAAAGAAAAUUUUCACCCCGAUUGGAAAAUCGUAUACAAGCCUAUUCUGAAAGUUGAUGCAGCUGAAGUUGAUUGAAUAUAUCAUGCCGUAUUAUGUGAAUCCAAAUUCAAAAGGAUUUGACUCCAAUGCGAGAUGUGAGUAUCACUCUAAUACCCAAGGUCAUAGUACGGAACAUUGUUGGACAUUAAAGAAAGCCAUUGAAAAUUUGAUUGAAGCAAAGGCAAUUGUGGUGGCAACAAUGAAGAUAUUCCUAAUAUCACAAAAAAUCUGCUUCCAACUCAUGAUAAUACACAUUUUAUUGGGAUGAUUUUUCAUCAUUGGGAUUAUAAGUUGUCUGGUAAGACAAAGAUGAUUAUUGGAACCAUAGAGCAAAAAGCCAAAAGUGAUAGUAAGCUCGCUGCAACUGGCACCGUUGAUUGUGAAACGUGCCAGUUCUAGUUCAAACUUGGAAGGUUCAUAAAAGAUGGUUCUCUAUGUCCUUGGAAGCACAAAGAAGAUUGAAGUUCAAUUGGGUGGUCCAAAACUUUACAUCCUUGGAGGCAUUCAAAAGAUUGUUCCUAAUAAUUCUUUGAGAAAUAUAAUAGAACCAGUUAUGAUACGACAUGUCCCACAACUUCCAUUGUCAAACACAAAAGCUAUUCCCUGGAACUAUAACAAGAUUGUCAUGACAUACAAUGGAAAAGAGAUAGUGGAAGAAAUAGAUGAAAUGGUAGGCUCGACCUGCUCUGGAAGGUGCUACUUGCUAGAGGAAUUGAGAAAAGCUAAGCAAGCCAAGGAAAAUCACUUUCCAGUGAAAGAAACCGUUUCAGAAAAAGAAGCGGAGGAAUUCCUUAAGAAGAUGAAAAUGCAAGACUACUCAAUCAUCGAUCAACUAAAGAGAACCCCUACUAAGAUAUCAUUGUUAUCUCUGCUUUUGCACUCUAAAGAACAUCGUCGCGUGUUGAUCCAAACUUUGGACGAGGCAUAUGUCUCAGAAAAGACAACUGUGAAUGAACUAGAAAAGAUGGCUGAAAGAUUCUUUGAGGUGAACAAAAUCUCUUUCAGCGAUAAUGAUUUUCCUGAGGAAGGGGCCGGGCAUAAUGAAACUUUGCAUCUUAUGGUCAAAAUGUAAUGGGCAUUACGUAAAAGGAGACACGAUUGACGGAGGCUCAAGCGUAGAUAUGUGCCCUCUUUCUAUUCUACAACAACCAAACAUUGACAUUAAUAGAAUUCAAACUAGUACUGUCAGCAUCAGGGCUUUUAAUAGUUCAGAAGGAGACAAUAUUUGGGAAAUCGAGCUCACCAUGAAAAUUGGCCCGGUUAAUUUUAUCAUUGUCUUUCAAGAGUUGGAUAUGAAAACUUCUUAUAGUUUUCUUCUGGGAAGGCCGUGGAUCCAUAUGGCCAGAGCUAUACCAUCCACCCUACAUCAAAUGGUCAAAUUCGAGUAUGACAGGCAAGAAAUGUUGUUCAUGGAGAGAAUGACUCAUCCGUCUAUAAUUACCCGUCCAUUCCAUUUAUCGAGGCCAAGAAAGGAUGUGAAUCCCUCAUAUACCAAACAUUUUAGGUGAUUAAGGUAGACCAAGUGGAAGAAGAAAAACCAAUUCUGCAUCCCUUCUUUCAUCCUCAUCUAUGAUGGCAGCUUCGCUGAUGUUAAGGAAUUGAUAUGAACCCAGGAAAAGGAUUAGGAUCCUUUCUGCAAGGAAUUCUGAACCCCAUUGCUGCCUUUACAAAGAAAGAUACCUUUGGCUUGGGUUUUAGACCAACAUUAGCUGACAUGAAGAGAUCCAUGGCUCGCAAAAAAAAUGGUUGGAAAUUGUCAAAACUAAUCCCUCACAUUGCCUACUCUUUUGUCAAGCCACAAUUUGAAGAAGUCCAAAUCUUUCUACUUAAUAUGACAUUGAUGAAGUUUUCCAGGGUCUCAAGGAGAUGUUCUAUGGAAUCAAUAUGGUUCAAGUUGGUGAGGGCUCUCGCCGUGCAAGUGUUAGCUGAUUGGUCCAGAUAUCUCGCUCAACAACUCGGAAGCAACUCUUCUUCCCAUCAAGAAAGAGUCUUGGUAGUCUCUUUUGUUACUUUUUCUAUAUUUGGAUUAUUUCAGGGUUGUAAUCCAUGUAUUUUAGUUCAAUAGCUUGCUUUGAUGUUAACCCUUCCACCCUUUCCAAUUCAACGAAAUGAAGUUCCAGUUUCAUAGUAGAAUUCUGUCUUUUUCUUUCGCUAAUUUUUGUUAAUUUCUCAUCAUUUUCAGUUUUUUUAAUGCUUUCUCUAAAGACAUGACAUGCCUGCAUAAUUCAUGCCCAGAUCUUAAAAAAGUUGUCUAAUCUAGAAAUAAUGAAUCAAGAAGUUGAGUAUGAUGAUGAUGAGGCUUUUAAAAGAAUUGGAUCAAUUUGAGAAUAAGCCUAAGCCUAACUUAAAUGAAACUGAGGCAAUUAACCUGGGAGGUCCUGAAGAAAUUAGAGGAACAAAAAUAAGCAUUCAUAUUUAACAAAAGACGAGAGAUGCCAUAAUUCAAAUUUUGUUUUAGUGUAGAGAUGUAUUUGCUUGGUUGUAUGAUGACAUGUCGGGUCUGAGUGCCGUUUAAGUAGUUCAUAAACUUCCCACAUAUCCUAAUUUUCCACAAAUCCAAUAAAAAGAAAGGAAGUUUAAGACAGACAUGAGUGAUAAGAUUAUAGAAGAAAUCAUAAAACAACUAAGUGCAAAUAUGAUUAGGGUCAUCCGAUAUACCACAUGGUUAGCAAAUGUUGUGCAUGUGCCAAAGAAAGAUGGGAAAAUCAGAGUUCGUGUUGACUAUAGGGAUUUAAACAAAGAAAGUCCAAAAGACAACUUCCCCUUACCCAACAUUCAUAUCCUUGUUCACAAUUGUGCUAAAUAUGAGAUACAAUCUUUUGUGAAUUGUUAUGCCAGGUAUCACCAAAUUCUGAUGGAUGAAGAAGAUGCAGAAAAGACCUCCUUCAUCACUCCAUGGGAACCUAUUGUUAUAGGGUCAUGCCAUUUGGUUGAAGAAUGCAGGGGCAGCUUACAUGAGGGCCAUGACCACCAUCUUCCAUGACAUGAUGCUCAAGGAGAUUGAAGUGUAUGUUGAUGAUGUGAUUAUUAAAUCUAGAACACACGCGGAUCAUGUGCAAGAUUUGAAAAAGUUCUUGAAAGUUUACAAAGGUACAAUCUCAAACUCAAUUCAGCUAAAUGUGCAUUUGGAGUUCCUUCUGGGAAGCUUUUGGGUUUUAUAGUCAGUCAAAGAGGCAUUGAAUUAGAUCCCUCAAAGAUAAAAACCAUUCGAGAUCUUCCUCCCCCGAAGAAUAAAAAAGAAGUUAUGGGUUUACUCGGGAGAUUGAACUACAUCAGCAGGUUCAUGGCAAAACUUACAACCACAUGUGAGCCCAUUUUCAAGUUGCUUAAAAAAACGCUACUAUCAGAUGGACAGAUGAGUGUCAAGAAGCUUUUGAUAAGAUUAAAUAAUAUUUUUCAAAUCCUCAUAUUUUGGUGCCACCGGAAUCUGGUAGGCCUCUGUUUUUAUGUCUCUCAAUAAUAGAUAGCUCUUUCGGUUGUGUUUUGGGUCAACAUGAUGCCACAUGCAAAAAGGAAUAAGAAAUCUAUUAUUUGAGCAAAAAGUUCACUACUUAUGAGGCCAAAUACAUUCUUUUGGAAAGGACAUGUUGCGCAUUAACUAGGGUUGCUCAGAAACUGAGGUAUUAUCUUUUGGCCUAUACAACUUAUCUCAUAUCCCGAGUUGGUCCCCUGCAGUACAUUUUUCAGAAGCAUUAGCCAACUGGCAGAUUGGCAAAGUGGCAAAUCUUGCUCACAGAGUUUGAUAUUGUAUAUGUCACUCAUUGCCAUGAAGGCACAAGCUUUGACUGAUUAUUCGGCAGAAAACCCAGUUGAUGAUGAGUAUGAAUCUUUGAACAAAUACUUCCCAGAUGAAGAGGUUAAUUUAGUUGAAGAAGCAGUCCAAGAUGACAAUCAUGUUUGGAAACUAUACUUGGAUGGGCUAUCAACAUAAAAGGCGUCGGGAUUGGGGCAAUUCUUAUAUCACCUAUUGGGGACCAUUACCCUGCCAUGCGUGACUUUGUUUCUUCUGUCCAAACAACACGACAGAAUAUGAAGCUUGCAUAAUGGGUCUGAACAUGGCAAUAAACCUAAAUGUGCAUGAACGGUUGGUGAUGGAUGAUUCAGAUUUGCUUAUUCCGCAGGCUCAAGGUAAUUGGGAGACUCGAGAUGUCGAGCUCAUUACAUAUGGACUAUAGGUUGAAGAUAUUAGUAAAAGGUUCAAGUCCACCAAGUUUAGGUACAUUCCCAGGUUUCACAAUGAGUUCGCUGAUGCCUUGGCCACCCUUGCCUCAAUGCUUCAAUAUUUGGGUAACACUCACAUUGACCCAUUAGAAAUUAAAAUUCGGGAUCGACAUGGUUUUUGCAAUACAAUUGAAGCAGAACUAGAUGGUGAACUAUGGUAACGUGAUAUUAAACAGUUUCUGAAAAUAAGAGAAUAUCCAGAACGUGCUAAUAGGGGACAAAAGAGAAUUAUUAGGCGACUCUCUAAUGGUUUCUUUUUGAGUGGGGAAAUCCUAUACAAAAGAACCCCAGAUUUGAAUUCAUUGAGAUGUGUGGAAGUGAAAGAAGCUGAAAUGAUUAUGAAUGAGGUGCAUUCGGCAGUUUGUGGUCCCCAUAUAAAUGUAUAUGUUCUAGCAAAGAAAAUUCUUCGAGCAUGAUAUUAUUGGCUUACUAUGGAGCGAGAUUGCAUUCCUUUUGUUAGCAAGUGCCACCAGUGUCAGAUUCACAGUGAUUUGAUUCACUCACCUCCUUCAGAACUAUAUCCUAUGUCGGCACCUUGGCCUUUCGUUGCUUGGGGAAUGGACGUCAUAGGCCCGAUCAAGCCAAAACCUUCAAUGGACACAGUUUCAUUGCAAUUGAUUAUUUCACCAAAUAGGUGGAAGCUAUUACAUUGAAAGAAGUUACCAAGAAAGCAGUAGUAAACUUCGUUCAUUCCAAAAUCAUCUGUCGUUUUAGUAUUCCAAAAACCAUUAUUACAGAUAAUGCUGCUAAUUUGAAUAGUCAUCUGAUGAAGGAAGUAUGUGAACAAUUUUAAAUUGAGCAUCGCCAUUCUACUCCUUACCGACCCAAAGCUAAUGGAGUUGUUGAAGCUGCAAAUAAGAACAUCAAGAAUAUUCUUAGGAAGAUGUUCCAAGGGUCUAGACAAUGGCACGAGAAAUUGCCUUUUGCACUUUUGGGAUGCCGGACAACUAUCCAUACAUCAGUUGGCGCAAUGCCCUACUUGUUAGUUUAUGGAACUGAAGCAGUCAUACCUGCAAAAGUUGAGAUUCACUCUCUCCAAAUAAUUGUUGAAGAUGGGACUGAUGACACUGAAUGGGUGAAGUCACGAUUAGAAUAAUUGAGUUUCAUUGAUAAAAACUGUUGGCAGAAGUUUGUUUCGGUCAGUUAUACAAACAAAGAAUGGCACGUGCUUACAAUAAGAAAGUGCGCCCUAGAAAAUUAUAGGUAGGACAGCUUGUUUUGACACGCAUCUUUCCACACCAGGAAGAAGCAAAAGGAAAGUUUGCUCCGAAUUGGCAAGGUCCUUACCUCGUCAAGAAAGUAUUGUCGAAAGGAGCUCUACACUUGGCAGAUAUAGAAGGAAAGGUGAAAAACAUAUCCGUUAAUGCAGAUGCGGUCAAGAGAUACUAUGUCUGACAUGCUUCUAUUAGGGAAUUGGUCUAUACAUAGCAUUCUCAGGUUGAGAUGACGAAAGGCUAUCAUUAAGAGAUACUAUGUCUUACAUACUUCUGUUGUGGCAUUUGAUUUAUACUUAGCAUUCUCGGGUUGGGAUGACGAAAGGCUAUCAUUCUCGCUACCCAAACACUGGUGAACCCUAGUUAGCCCUUUGAAGCUUUGUUUAUGAUUCUUUUUUUUACCCUCUUUUGGAACCAAUGUACUUAAAUAAAAAUCAAAAUUAAAAAAAAUCAUCAAAACAGAGUCCCUGAACUAUGUUCAACUUGAUUCCGAAAGGAUACGUAGGGAGCCUUUCUCCGAGGUUCUGUCAGACCAAAUAAAAAUACACAUUUCCCCAAUAUUCAAAGAAACUGGGGCAUGUUUUUAUUUUAUUUUUGACAGCUCUUCCAUCAAAUGGUUCCAAAAGUUGUAAUUCAGUUGAGUAGUUCUUUUUACCUUUCCCUUUUAAGACCUUCUGAUCAGCUUUUGAGAAUGCUAAGUCAGUAUACUGGAGGUGAUGCUUCAACCAUUGCAAAGAGAGAAAAUAAAUGAGAGUCUUAUUGGUGAAAACCCUCAAGGGCACUAUAUGGCGAUGUUGAGUUGAUAAAAACAAGUGAAAGUGUCUUAUUGGUGAAAACCCUCACAGGCGCUAUAAGGCGAUGGUGAGUUGAGAAAAAGGCGAAUAAGAGAUUUCAAUUGGUGAAGACCCACAAAGGGCAUCGUUGAUCGAUUUUAAGUCUUCUUAAUCCCGACAUAAGCAUGUUUAAAGAACUCAGUUUCAUAGUGAAUUUUACAACAGAUUUUGAGAAUCGGACAGUUUAGACCGAUCGGGCAUCCAGCCCGAAAUGCAUGUCAUGUUCAUUGAAGUCAACAUAUUCCUCGAGAUAAUUCCUUUCUUAUUCUUCCCAUGAAAGGGACGCUUCUUGAUUAAGUUGUAAUGCUUAUUAGUUCACCUACUUGUUUUAUUUCGUACUAUUAUUUUUGAGUCUCUUUUAGUUAAAUUUUGUCAAAGCAGAACAAAGAAAAAGGCCACAAGAUUGGUCACAGUUUCCCCGUUGUAUGAAGAAAAAAUAUCAGGGCAUAAAUAGUAUGGGCAAAGCCAUAAAGCCGACUUUGAUUUUCCUUUCAAGCAAAAGGCUUGAAGGACUUAGCAAUGUUUCAACGGUCAACAAAAGUUACUCAUCGAAAGUUGUUUUGGGGAAAAAGGUUGUUUGCACCAUAGACACAAAUGGUGAUAGGGACAAAAUAGUAAGGUGUUGAUGUUGAGAAAGAAGAUAUUCGUAGAGUAAAGUCAGAAUCUCCCGGCAAUUUGUAUGAUCAUCGAGGGGGUCAGUUUUCCUGACAAGUGUAAUGGAUGCAAGGUCAAGUCGCCCAAGAAAUCAAGGCUACAAACUGACCACCAUUUUAAAACUAGCGAAUGUUUCUUUGUUUAGAACAGGAACAGAAUAGUUUAGUGAAACAGUUCAUGGAAAGACGAACACAACCAAGUGAAGUUCUCAAACCCAUGAUUUCCUUCCAAUAUGCACAUAAGCAUGUUAUUUUUUAGGGAUCAACACCCUAUCUUCAAUAAAGGGUACUACGUCCCCUGGUUGCAUUAUUUUCUAUAUAGGGUACGACAUCCCCUAGCUGCAUUUUAGAGUGCCACGAACCUCAUCUUAUUUCCAACACAGGGUACUACAUCCCCUGGUGGCUUUACUUCUUAUUGCAAACAUAGGGAUCGACAUCCCCUAGUUGCAUUUAAGAGUGCCACGAGCCUCAUCUUAUUGCCAACACAGGUUACUACAUCCCCUGGCUGCAUUAUCUUCUACAUAGGUUACGACAUCCCCUAGUAGCAUUUAAGAGCACUACGAGCCUUAUCUUAUUUCCAGCACAGGGUACUACAUCCCUUGGUUGCACUUCUUGUUGCAAACAUAGGGUACAACAUUCCCUAGUAGCAUCUCAGAGUGCCACGAGCUCAUCUUAUUGCUGACACAUGGUGCUACAUCCUAUGGCCGCAUUACUUUCUACCUACAUAGAGUAUGACAUCCCAUAGUAGAAUCUCAGAGCGCCACGAGCUUUAUCUCAUCGCCAACACAUGGUACUACAUCCCAUGGUUGCUUUCCUUCUUGUUAACACAGGAUACAUCAUCCCUUAUUAUUAAUAAAAGCGGAUGUUUUUCUUUAUUUAAUUUUUUUAUUUUUAUUUUUAUUCUGCAAUAGCAAAGAUAGUUUAUUGUGUUUUCAAUAAUUCACAAAACUUUCUAGUACAAACUGGGGCAGAAAAUUUUUGUUCGUUUUGUUUGUUUGUCAUGGUUUGUAGGUUUUUCUGCAAAGAACGCAUUGGAUGUGCCAAAAUAAGAUUUCAGUUCUAUCCAGAGAAAGUGGAACGUUUGAUCCCAACAAAAGCCGCAACUAGCUUUGACGUAAUGCAUCCAGAGACGUCUACAUGGUCAGGUUCCAUCUUCCAUUAUCCGAUCAAGAAAUAAGGCCGUGAGAAUAUUUCAUAGUCUGUUACAUCAAGGGCAUCAAGUUUCAAUCAAAAGUCAAAGCAAGUCAAGAAUCAAGACAAGACUCCCGGUAAGAAUUUUGUAACUCUAUUUCAAUAGUAUGUAAUUUUCUUUUCAUUUUGAUGUAAUAGUAGGAAUCGCGGAUUGGAACCUCGACGGAACUUCCAUCUACUCACCCUUUAAGAAUACUCGGUCACUAUCCUUCAACUUGAACUACACAGGACCUAAUUCCCUUAUAACCGGGGAUAUGUAGGCUUCCUAAAACUAAGGCUCUGUUGUGACCUCUUCUAUUCUCAUCUUAUGCUUUUUAAACAAUAGUGAUGUCAAAAAUCAGUCACCUUGUUCAUUUUUCUUUGCAUGAAAACUCUUCAUAUUUCCAAGCAAAGAGGGGCAUGCUGUGAACAACUAAUCUUUGACCAUAUUCAAAUUUUAUACUAUUUUAGCAUAAAUAUGUCAUUCAGGUCUAAUUUUAAAUAUUUAGAUUCAUAUUGAAUACAUUUCUUUUCUAUAUUUAAAGAGAUAAAGAAAAUUUACAAAAAAUAUUUAGUUUCUUUAAUUAGUAUUUUUAUAUGUAAGCUAUGGUAUUUUUAGUAUUAUUUAAAUUAUAUAUAAAAAUUUAGUUUUCUCAUUUUUUUGGUGUAAAUAUAGUUGAUAAAUAUUAUCUUUUUAAAAUUAUCUUAUCUUAAAAAAAAAAAAAAGAAGGGUAACUAACGAAAACAACAAGAAACAAAACAAAAA
rnacentral:lncRNA from 1 species